rnacentral:rRNA from 1 species
UACGGGGGGUGCGAGCGUUGUCCGGAAUCACUGGGCGUAAAGCGCACGUAGGCGGCUUUCUAAGUCAGGGGUGAAAUCCUGGAGCUCAACUCCAGAACUGCCUUUGAUACUGAGGGUCUUGAGUAUGACAGAGGUGGUGGAACUGCGAGUGUAGAGGUGAAAUUCGUAGAUAUUCGCAAGAACACCAGUGGCGAAGGCGGCUCACUGGGUCAUUACUGACGCUGAGGCACGAAGCACGGAGGGAGCAAACAGGGAUUAAG